rnacentral:rRNA from 1 species
UGAGGAAUAUUGCGCAAUGGGCGAAAGCCUGACGCAGCGACGCCGCGUGGAGGAUGAAGGUUUUCGGAUUGUAAACUCCUGUUAAGUGGGAAGAAACGACAAAAUAUAAUACAUUUUGUAACUGACGGUACCAUUAAAGAAAGCACCGGCUAACUUCGUGCCAGCAGCCGCGGUAAUACGAGGGGUGCAAGCGUUAUUCGGAAUUAUUGGGCGUAAAGGGUGCGUAGGCGGCGUAUUAAGUCAACUGUUAAACCUCCAGCCUAACUGGAGAUCAGCAGUAGAUACUGGUAUGCUAGAGGAUGGAAGAGAGAAGUGGAAUUCUUGGAGUAGCGGUGGAAUGCGUAGAUCUCAAGAGGAACACCAAUGGCGAAGGCAGCUUCUUGGUCCAUAUCUGACGCUGAUGCACGAAAGCGUGGGGAGCAAACAGGAUUAGAUACCCUGGUAGUCCACGCCGUAAACGAUGAUCACUAGAUGUUAAUUCUGCUUGCAGAAUUAGUGUCGUAGCUAACGUGAUAAGUGAUCCGCCUGGGGGACUACGGUCGCAAGAUUAAAA